rnacentral:rRNA from 1 species
UGCAGAAUCCCGUGAACCAUCGAGUCUUUGAACGCAAGUUGCGCCCAAAGCCGCUAGGCCGAGGGCACGCCUGCCUGGGCGUCA